rnacentral:rRNA from 1 species
GUAAGGAAUAUUGGUCAAUGGACGAAAGUCUGAACCAGCCAUGCCACGUGAAGGAUGAAGGCCCUCUGGGUUGUAAACUUCUUUUAUCUGGGACGAAAAAAGGGUAUUCUUACUCACUUGACGGUACCAGAGGAAUAAGCACCGGCUAACUCCGUGCCAGCAGCCGCGGUAAUACGGAGGGUGCAAGCGUUAUCCGGAUUCACUGGGUUUAAAGGGUGCGUAGGUGGGUAUUUAAGUCAGUGGUGAAAUCUCCGAGCUUAACUCGGAAACUGCCAUUGAUACUAUUUACCUUGAAUGCCCUGGAGGUAAGCGGAAUAUGUCAUGUAGCGGUGAAAUGCUUAGAUAUGACAUAGAACACCAAUUGCGAAGGCAGCUUACUACGGGGUGAUUGACACUGAGGCACGAAAGCGUGGGGAGCAAACAGGAUUAGAUACCCGAGUAGUCC